rnacentral:rRNA from 1 species
GUGGCGAACGGGUGAGUAACACGUGAGUAACCUGCCCUUAACUCUGGGAUAAGCCUGGGAAACUGGGUCUAAUACCGGAUAGGAGCGUCCACCGCAUGGUGGGUGUUGGAAAGAUUUAUCGGUUUUGGAUGGACUCGCGGCCUAUCAGCUUGUUGGUGAGGUAAUGGCUCACCAAGGCGACGACGGGUAGCCGGCCUGAGAGGGUGACCGGCCACACUGGGACUGAGACACGGCCCAGACUCCUACGGGAGGCAGCAGUGGGGAAUAUUGCACAAUGGGCGCAAGCCUGAUGCAGCGACGCCGCGUGAGGGAUGACGGCCUUCGGGUUGUAAACCUCUUUCAGUAGGGAAGAAGCGAAAGUGACGGUACCUGCAGAAGAAGCACCGGCUAACUACGUGCCAGCAGCCGCGGUAAUACGUAGGGUGCGAGCGUUAUCCGGAAUUAUUGGGCGUAAAGAGCUCG